rnacentral:lncRNA from 1 species
UGUCACUAGAUCUAAUCUUCAGAGUAGUGACGUAAGAAACUAUCUAGUUUGCCAUUCUGUUCGUCUUUCAGAACAUAUGCGGAACAAAUAUCAUGGCAAACAGACAAAGGAAUGUCUAGGUAUAAAAGAGAAGUGGAUGGAUCUUCGACUAUCUCGUGUCAUUUCGGAUCCAAUCAAUAAUUAAAUCAUUUAUUUAAAAAAUAUUAUAUAGAUAAUUAUAAUAUUAAUUAUUAAUUUAUUUAAAUUAUAUUUUUUUUGAAUGUCGCAAAAUUGAUAUGGAUGAGUAUAUUUGUCAUUGUAAACAUAAGAGGAAGAAAGAUUUAAUUUACACUCAUGGCAUAUUUUUACUUAGAAAAACAAAA